rnacentral:lncRNA from 1 species
GGCCAUUUCCCCAGCUCUGGCUCCCUGGCAGCGCCCCUGUAUGCCCAACCAGCUGCUCCUUCUCACACUGGACGCACCGAGCAGGGAAGUGAUGGUUGGCAGAGAGGGCUUCUUCGAGGAGCUGAGCAAGAUGGGCCUCCAGAUCCCUCUCCCCACAGGGGAGGCCCUGAUGGCAGUAGAGAACAUGAGAGCUGGAAAACCAGGGUUGAAAGAGCCAUCGGGACAACCCGUCCAUUUUACAGAUGAGGAAACUGAGGCUCAGAGCCAGCAGCUGCAGGGUGUAGAAUCCAGCCCUUGGGACACUGUGCAACUCCAGGGAGGGGUCCCUGUGCCUCUGCACCAUGAGCCCAAACAGGGUCUGGAGCCUGGAUCCCACCUCAUCUGGAUUGCCCAGGCCUUUGCAGACAAGCCUUCAGAGAGGGCCCAGACCUCGGCCCUUCUGUCCUGGACUUCCCUGAGGACCUGGGUGGGGAGGGACAUGGUGGCAUGGCCAGGCCCAGGAGGGCAGAAGGCCAGAGGGUAUGGUCCAGAGUGGGUGACCCAGUGAGGGCUGUGUGGCAGAGCAGGACAAGAAAUGUGAUGGGGACGGAGGGAGGGCUGUGGCCCUUUGCCAAGCACACCCCACAUGAACCCCUGCAGGGAGACCCUCCCUGCACAUUGAGAUCCCUCCCUCCCCUACAGUAAGCCCCUCCCCCAUCACUAAGCCCCUUCUCCUCUCUCUGCGCCACCAUCCCCUCACUGUCCCUGCUCACUGUCCUCCCCCGCCUUAAGUCCCAUCCUAACUGCACUCUCUACCCUCAAGCCCCUGCCCCCCCCGCAUCCCCCUGACUUGCAGAGCAGCGAGCAGCUCAGACCCUGGUGCUGUGGCCUCUUCCAGGGUCUGGCCUGGACCCAGGCGUUUUCUAGGGGCACCUCCGGUCGGUUCCCCCUUCGUGGCACGCCGGGAAUGCAGCCCCUGCACACACAGGCCCCCUCCGCCGCGGAGAGGAGCUCAGUCCCGUGGACUUUUAAGGACUGAACAGGGAGCGAGCUCCGUCCCGGGCCUGGCCGAGCUGUCCUCCAGAUCUGGCCCCGUCACGGAGGGGCUUGGCUGGCUGCCCCAGUGGGGAGGGGUCUCAGCGCUUAGAUCAGGAAUGAACGGGGGCUGGGCACAUGUCGCGUCUGGCUGGGCCUCUGUCCCUCCUUCGGCCCCCCUUGGGUGGUGCUGAGGGCUGAGGACCCCUGCCCCUCUCUAGCAGGGGGUCCAGGCUGGGUCUCAGGG